rnacentral:rRNA from 1 species
CGGCGAGUGAAGCGGCAAAAGCUCAAAUUUGAAAUCUGGCCGCAAGGUCCGAGUUGUAAUUUGAAGAGGAAUGUUCGGCGAGACGCAGACCCGAGUCUUCUGGAAGGAAGCGCCACUGAGGGUGAGAGCCCCGUAGGGUCGGAAGUCGAGCCAUGUGAACGUCCUUCGAAGAGUCGAGUUGUUUGGGAAUGCAGCUCCAAGCGGGUGGUAAAUUCCAUCUAAAGCUAAAUACUGGCCAGAGACCGAUAGCGCACAAGUAGAGUGAUCGAAAGAUGAAAAGCACUUUGGAAAGAGAGUGAAACAGUACGUGAAAUUGUUGAAAGGGAAGCGCAAGCAAUCAGACUUGGGCGCCGGGUUCCGCCGUCCUUGUGGGCGGUGUACUCCCGUGCGCACGGGCCAGCAUCAGUUUUGGCGGCUGGAGAAAGGCGUGGGGAACGUAGCUCCUCCUCGGAGGAGUGUUAUAGCCCGUCGCAGAAUACAGCC